GUAAGGAAUAUUGGUCAAUGGACGCAAGUCUGAACCAGCCAUGCCGCGUGGAGGAUGAAGGUUCUCUGAAUUGUAAACUUCUUUUAUCUGGCAAGAAAUCCCCUUUUCUAAGGGUGUUGACGGUAUCAGAUGAAUAAGCACCGGCUAACUCCGUGCCAGCAGCCGCGGUAAUACGGAGGGUGCGAGCAUUAUCCGGAUUUACUGGGUUUAAAGGGUGCGUAGGUGGCUAAGUAAGUCAGUGGUGAAAUCCCCGAGCUUAACUUGGGAACUGCCAUUGAUACUAUUUAGCUUGAAUAUUGAGGAGGUGAACAGAAUAUAUCAUGUAGCGGUGAAAUGCUCAGAUAUGAUAUAGAAUACCGAUUGCGAAGGCCGUUCACUACACAAUUAUUGACACUGAGGCACGAAAGCGUGGGGAUCAAACAGGAUUAGAAACCCUAGUAGUCC
rnacentral:rRNA from 1 species